rnacentral:sRNA from 1 species
GGAAGUAAAAGUCGUAACAAGGUUUCCGUAGGUGAACCUGCGGAAGGAUCAUUACAGUGGUUUCGGGCCGUGCCGUUUCCCCGCUCGGGGGGCGCGCGGCCUGCACCUCCCACCCAUGUUUACUUGAAACCCUUUGUUGCCUUGGCAGGACUGCCGCUUGUCGGCUGCCGGGGACCUGCAGCCAUGCAGCCCGGGCGAGUGCCUGCCAGAGGACCAUUUGAACCCUAAGUGAAGAUUGACAGUCUGAGUAUUCUAGCAAGAAUAAGUUAAAACUUUCAACAACGGAUCUCUUGGUUCCAGCAUCGAUGAAGAACGCAGCGAAAUGCGAUAAGUAAUGUGAAUUGCAGAAUUCCGUGAAUCAUCGAAUCUUUGAACGCACAUUGCGCCCCCUGGUAUUCCGGGGGGCAUGCCUGUCCGAGCGUCAUUGCAAAUCCUUCAAGCACGGCUUGUGUGUUGGACUGCGUCCCCGAUGGUGUGGACGAGUCUGAAAUGCAGUGGCGGCGCCGAGUUCCUGGUGUCUGAGUGUAUGGGAAAUCUCUCUUUGCUCAAAGACCCGAUCGGUACCGACCGUAGAUCUUUCUUUCCGGUUUGACCUCGGAUCAGGUAGGAGUACCCGCUGAACUUAAGCAUAUCAAAAUGCGGAGGA